UGGGGAAUUUUGCACAUUGGGGGAAACCCUGAUGCAGCGACGCCGCGUGAUUUAGAAGGCCUUCGGGUUGUAAAAAUCUUUUCUAUGGGAAGAAAAUGACAGUACCAUAGGAAUAAGGACCGGCUAAUUACGUGCCAGCAGCCGCGGUAAUACGUAAGGUCCGAGCGUUGUCCGGAAUCAUUGGGCGUAAAGGGUACGUAGGCGGGUAAGCAAGUUAGAAGUGAAAUCCUAUAGCUCAACUAUAGUAAGCUUUUAAAACUGCUCAUCUUGAGGUAUGGAAGGGAAAGUGGAAUUCCUAGUGUAGCGGUGAAAUGCGCAGAUAUUAGGAGGAAUACCGGUGGCGAAGGCGACUUUCUGGCCAUAACCUGACGCUGAGGUACGAAAGCGUGGGUAGCAAACAGG
rnacentral:rRNA from 1 species